GAAAUGCAAGAGCUGCCUUGGUAUCACUAAAGCAAGUUCACUGAAAAAUAGGACACUUUGAGAAGGACUCAGAAACAGCAUUUGGAAUGGAGAACUCAAACUGCACUGUAGGCCGAACUAAUGCCUGAUAUUUAAGUAUAGGGGAGAUGUGGAGUUCUGAAGCUGAAAUUGAGAAGCCUGGAUCUGACAUGGAAUGUAAAGGAAUGACAAAACUGGAUGCCAAGAGGCAUUUUCAGCAGCAGUAUUGCCAGGACACUGAAGAAACCAGAGAGAAAAGCAGGAAAAUGGGAAAUGUCAAAAGUCUCUACCGUGGUCUCAGGAUCAGAGAGAGGAAGGAUGUUUCAGAGAACAAUCUGAAAGGGAAACGUGAGAUUUGGCAGCAGGUUAGCUAAGGAAGAAAUAAAAGUGAAAGAAGAGUCAGCUUGGGGAGUACUGUAGGCUGUCUCUACUGUAAGAUAAAUUCACAGCAAGCCCAGUAUGUCUAAGCAGUAUGAAUGAGCUUGUAUUUUAAUGCCCAAGAGGUGAGGGAAAAAAUAAAUUUCCUUUGGUUGAGAAGACAAAAAGUGGCUUCUUUCAUCCACCUGAGAAGGAGUAGGGCUGCAGGCACGGUAGACAAGAAGUCAGAUGCUGUGGCAUGCCAACUGCCAAGACACCUAGCAAGUCUGUCUUUCCUUGUCCUCCUGUGUUGUUUUUUUAUCACCCUGCUGGUCUGCAAGGUUAUAUGCUGCUUCUUUUUUUCCCCCAUCCUGAUUACUGCUUGCUUUGCUAAUAAGGGAAUAAUGAUGAGGAAGUAUGUCAUACAAAUUGUUAGACAAAGAUAAGGAUGGCUACAGGGAUAGCGCCAACUGAGAAGGCAGCAACAGUGAAAUUGACUGUUUUUAGUAAUCACAUGAGAAGAAAUACAUGCUUUUGUUUUCAGAGUAAACAUUUUACUGUCUAGAUGGAAAAGUCCAGCAGCCAAAGUUGUUAUUACAAGCUGAUUUAAAGACACAGGUGAGGAAGUACUUGAAGAUAUUUGUUUGCUUCGUGUUGGCUUUAUAAGAUGUGGCUUACUGGUUUCUGAAGGCUUGAAAAUGUCUUGCAGUUUUUCAUGUUGACUGGUAAAUCCUUUUGUGCCUAGAGUGCCAUCCCCUCAUAGAGUCACUGUUCAUAAUACUGAACUAUGACUGUAUAUGAGAAGGAUGGUUGUACAAUCAGAGGGUCUGAAAAACUGCUAUGUCUGUUGUUCUUAAUACUCUUAAGGCUUUAUAAUGCACUGUAUUUUCUGAACUGAUGCAAGAACAAGCCUUUGAUGAUAGAAAAACUGAAGUUUAUAGUACAGAAGGAAGUGUGAAUUGAUUUUGCCAAUUUGGGAAAUGAAAUAGGUAGUACAGAAGUUCUUAGACCCACUUUCCCAGUUGAAAAGCACUUAGGUAAAACUGGACAAAAAGCCAGAGGAGAACUAAGUGAAAUUUCACACUCAGUGAGAUGCCUCACGUCUGAGCAACCAGCCAGACCUUAGUGUUUUAAUAUCCCUAAUCUAUUCUGUGCUUUAAUGAGAUCUUGAGCUAUUGGCUCUGAAGAUUAUUAGUGCCCUGGUGAAUAGCCAUUCAAUCUUCAGGCAUGUGAUGAGAAUUUGCUUCCUCUUUCAAUCCUUCAGCUUCUUGGCUAGAAUUUAUUAUUUCCCUAAAUAAAAGCAGCUGCAAAAUUUCAUUAGGUGUUAUAGUACCCCUUUCUGCUGUAUUUAACCUUGUCUCAUUAAAUAGAUUACAUCCUUGCCUCUUGUAAUUAAGUGCAAAUCAAACACAAUAUUUUAAUAUUAUAUUAAAAAUGUAAGAAAUAGGACGCCUUUUCAGCUGCCAUUCUGAAAUUCCUGAAGGCAGGAGUGCUACUUUGACAGUGACAAAUUCUUCCAGAAACAUCUGGUCUAUAAAGUACAUUUUCUCCUUAUAGAUCUGAUAGUAAAAUCAUAAAUACCAAAGACAAAGUGUUCUGUUCUGUCACACUUGAAUUCCAUUUAAAGAGAGUUCUUUAUCUAUUUCAUCUGUUCAGUAUCUGAGUGAUUUAACUACCUGCAAAGGCUUCUGUUGAGUAUGGGUUUUCUGGACACCAGCGAUCUUAAAUAUUAGAAGAGCUCAGGCUGUAGAGAAAAAAAAAAAAACAUGAAUCUAAUAAUGGGUUGUGUAUUAAUUCAGCAAGCCUUUGGUUUUAUUUAAUAAGCAAAGAAAAAUUAUACUUCCACAAUCUACUGAGAGUCCAGUCAAACUAUGUGAUAAAUACUGACAAGAAAAAAUUAUCUUGCAUGUUCUAAAGUUGGGUCAAGAGAAGCACUAUGAACCCACACCUUCCUUAUGUGAACUUGCUAAGUCCCACGUCUAAAUUUCAUCCAUUUAACAUUUGUCACAUGACUGGGGUCCUUCAGUUAAGUUCUUUGCAGAAAUAAAAGAGGAAUUGUCUGUUUGAGGGCUUUGAUGUUGCAUCUCUCUUGAAAGCACCUUUCUCCCUGUGCUGACUGUAAGGUUGUGCAGGGCAGCAAUGCUGAUCUGAAGUUGGAGAUGUAAGUUCAGUGGUAUUCUUUGUGCUCAAUGUAACCAAAAUGCACUGUGUGUCUCCAUCCUAUACCUUUGGAGUUAAGCAUUAGGUAAAUAUAGAGCAUUUCCCCAAGUUUGUUUCAGGUAUGAACUAUGUGUAUGCUAUUAGCUAUCUCUGUAUCCAGGAGAGAUUUAUGUUGAUAAUAUUAUCAUUAACUCUAAUUUGAUUUCAAACUGAGUCACUGAUUACAUGGUUUCUAAGUCUCAGAUUCUGCUUCCUUGGGGAAGCAGAGGUGAGAAAGUUUGCAUGCUAUUGCAUAUAUAAUUAAAAACCACUUCCC
rnacentral:lncRNA from 7 species